UGGCUCAGUUCAGCAGGAA
rnacentral:ncRNA from 2 species